AGAGUUUGAUCCUGGCUCAGGACGAACGCUGGCGGCGUGCUUAACACAUGCAAGUCGAGCGGAAAGGCCCUUCGGGGUACUCGAGCGGCGAACGGGUGAGUAACACGUGAGUAAUCUGCCCCUAGCUCUGGGAUAGCUCCGGGAAACCGGGAUUAAUACCGGAUAGGACCACCUUAGACAUCUUUUGUGGUGGAAAGAAUUUCGGCUAGGGAUGAGCUCGCGGCCUAUCAGCUUGUUGGUGGGGUAACGGCCUACCAAGGCGACGACGGGUAGCCGGCCUGAGAGGGCGACCGGCCACACUGGGACUAAGACACGGCCCAGACUCCUACGGGAGGCAGCAGUGGGGAAUAUUGCGCAAUGGGCGAAAGCCUGACGCAGCGACGCCGCGUGGGGGAUGAAGGCCUUCGGGUUGUAAACCCCUUUCAGCAGGGACGAAGCGAAAGUGACGGUACCUGCAGAAGAAGCGCCGGCUAACUACGUGCCAGCAGCCGCGGUAACACGUAGGGCGCAAGCGUUGUCCGGAAUUAUUGGGCGUAAAGAGCUCGUAGGCGGUCUGUUGCGUCCGCUGUGAAAACUCGGGGCUUAACCCCGAGCCUGCAGUGGAUACGGGCAGACUAGAGGUAGGUAGGGGAGAAUGGAAUUCCCGGUGUAGCGGUGAAAUGCGCAGAUAUCGGGAGGAACACCGGUGGCGAAGGCGGUUCUCUGGGCCUUACCUGACGCUGAGGAGCGAAAGCGUGGGGAGCGAACAGGAUUAGAUACCCUAGUAGUCC
rnacentral:rRNA from 1 species